GACGAACGCUGGCGGCGUGCUUAACACAUGCAAGUCGAACGGAAAGGCCCUGCUUUUGUUCGUUUCUCGAUUGGCGAACGGGUGAGUAACACGCGUGUAUCCUGCCCUUGUCUUUGGGAUAACUUCACGAAACUGGGGCUAAUAUCGGAUAGGAUCUCCUGCUCCAUGGUGGGCGUUGGAAAGUUUCGGCUGUUGGGGAUGGACUGGCGGCUUAUCCGCUUGUUGGUGGGGUAGUGGCUUACCAAGGCUGUGACGGGUAGCCGGCCUGAGAGGGGGAACGGCGACAAUGGGACUGAGGUAGGGAGCAGAAGGGUACGGGAGGCAGCAGUGGGGAGUAUGACACAGUGGGCCGGAGCCUGAGGCGGAAACGCCGCGUUCGGGAAGACGGCUUACGGGUUGUGAACAGCUUUCGCCUGUGACGAAGCGUGAGUGACGGUAAUGAGUAAAGAAGCACCGGCUAACUACGUG
rnacentral:rRNA from 1 species